UACGUAGGGUGCAAGCGUUAAUCGGAAUUACUGGCGUAAAGCGUGCGCAGGCGGUUAUGUAAGACAGGUGUGAAAUCCCCGGGCUUAACCUGGGAACUGCAUUUGUGACUGCAUAGCUAGAGUACGGUAGAGGGGGAUGGAAUUCCGCGUGUAGCAGUGAAAUGCGUAGAUAUGCGGAGGAACACCGAUGGCGAAGGCAAUCCCCUGGACCUGUACUGACGCUCAUGCACGAAAGCGUGGGGAGCAAACAGG
rnacentral:rRNA from 1 species